GUAAAGCGAGNGCAGGCGGUUAGAUAAGUCUGAAGUNAAAGGCUGUGGCUUAACCAUAGUACGCUUUGGAAACUGUUUAACUUGAGUGCAGAAGGGGAGAGUGGAAUUCCAUGUGUAGCGGUGAAAUGCGUAGAUAUAUGGAGGAACACCGGUGGCGAAAGCGGCUCUNUGGUCUGUAACCGACGCUGAGGCUCGAAAGCGUGGGGAGCGAACAGGAUUAGAUACCCUGGUAGACCGCGCCGUAAACGAUGAGUGCUAGGUGUUAGGCCCUUUCCGGGGCUUAGUGCCGCAGCUAACGCAUUAAGCACUCCGCCUGGGGAGUACGACCGCAAGGUUGAAACUCAAAGGAAUUGACGGGGGCCCGCACAAGCGGUGGAGCAUGUGGUUUAAUUCGAAGCAACGCGAAGAACCUUACCAGGUCUUGACAUCCCGAUGCCCGCUCUAGAGAUAGAGUUUUACUUCGGUACAUCGGUGACAGGUGGUGCAUGGUUGUCGUCAGCUCGUGUCGUGAGAUGUUGGGUUAAGUCCCGCAACGAGCGCAACCCUUAUUGUUAGUUGCCAUCAUUCAGUUGGGCACUCUAGCGAGACUGCCGGUAAUAAACCGGAGGAAGGUGGGGAUGACGUCAAAUCAUCAUGCCCCUUGUGACCUGGGCUACACACGUGCUACAAUGGCUGGUACAACGAGUCGCAAGUCGGUGACGGCAAGCUAAUCUCUUAAAGCCAGUCUCAGUUCGGAUUGUAGGCUGCAACUCGCCUACAUGAAGUCGGAAUCGCUAGUAAUCGCGGAUCAGCACGCCGCGGUGAAUACGUUCCCGGGCCUUGUACACACCGCCCGUCACACCACGAGAGUUUGUAACACCCGAAGUCGGUGA
rnacentral:rRNA from 1 species